rnacentral:rRNA from 1 species
UUCCUACGGGGGGCUGCAGUCGAGAAUCUUCGGCAAUGGGCGCAAGCCUGACCGAGCGACGCCGCGUGCGGGAUGAAGGCCCUUGGGUUGUAAACCGCUGUCAGGGGGGAGCAAGGCGUAAGCUUGAGCGAGCCCCAGAGGAAGCACGGGCUAAGUUCGUGCCAGCAGCCGCGGUAAUACGAACUGUGCGAACGUUAUUCGGAAUCACUGGGCUUACAGGGUGCGUAGGCGGCCUUUCAAGUCAGGUGUGAAAUCCCCCAGCUCAACUGGGGAACUGCGCUUGAAACUGGAGGGCUGGAGGCAACUAGAGGUGCAUGGAACUUCCGGUGGAGCGGUGAAAUGUGUUGAUAUCGGAAGGAACACCAGAGGCGAAAGCGAUGCACUGGGGUUGUUCUGACGCUGAGGCACGAAAGCCAGGGGAGCGAACGGGAUUAGAUACCCCGGUAGUC